UACGUAGGGUGCGAGCGUUAAUCGGAAUUACUGGGCGUAAAGCGUGCGCAGGCGGUUUUGUAAGCCAGAUGUGAAAUCCCCGGGCUUAACCUGGGAAUGGCAUUUGGGACUGCAAGGCUCGAGUGCGGCAGAGGAGACUGGAAUUCCUGGUGUAGCAGUGAAAUGCGUAGAUAUCAGGAGGAACACCGAUGGCGAAGGCGGCCUGCUGGCUGUUGCUGACGCUGAGGCGCGACAGCGUGGGAGCAAACAGG
rnacentral:rRNA from 1 species